rnacentral:lncRNA from 1 species
UGUUGAUUGAGAGAAGAUUCAAGAGAUUCAAUGCGGUUAAUGAGAGAAGAGAGUGUGGAUUGAUGAUUUUGAUGAAGGGUUUGUGAUUUGGGGUGGUGUACGAGGUUGUCGUGUACGAGGUGGUCGUGUACGAGAUUGUGGUGUACGAGGUGGUUGAGUUGUGGAGAAAGGAGGACGGAGGAAAUGGUUUGUAUGAGGUGGUCGUGUUGUGGAGAAAGAUGGGGUGGUUGUGGUUGUGGUGUGGGGGUGUAGCAUGGGUAAGAGGGGGUGCAGUAGCAAUGGGUAGGAGGAGGAGGUGGUGGAGGUUGGUGGUGGCUGUGAUGGUGGUUGUAAUGGUGGUGAGAGGCCAUUCG